UCGAACCUAUCGUGUUCCCAAAAGCAUAAACCAUCGAGAUCGAUGGAUCACCGGUUUCUCGAUGUGGGCUGAUUCUGCUCUUGAUCCCGACAAAGCAGGGUUCAGCAUUCUCCAUGAUCCCUCUUUCCAGCCAGAUUGAUCAUUCUUUGAAAAGAUAGAAAAGAAAAGGAAAAAAAAAGAGACUUCUUUGGGCCCUUCUUUUCGAUUAUUUCUGUAAUGUACGACGUAAUUCGAGGGCCAUAAUUACAAUAAGUUGGAUUCUCAAUCCUACCCAGUAGCACAAGAAGGAACAUACAUUAGUUUGUGAAGAUUUUGAGUCGUUUUCUAUUAUUCUUUGCAGGGAAUGGAACGUUCUUGUGAUUUCUGCAGGGCCGCGAAUGCAGUGGUUUACUGCAAUUCAGAUUCCGCCCGACUGUGCCUCCACUGUGACGGCUACAUCCAUUCAGCCAAUUCACUCGCCAGUCGACACUCCCGUUGGUUCUUAUGUAAUAGAUGCAGCUCUCAGCCUGCAAUUGUUCGGUGCUUGGACGAGAAGUUGUCUCUCUGUCAGAGCUGUGACUGGAAUGGGCUAGAAAUGGGAUGCUCUGGCCUGGGUCAUUCCCGGCGGGCCUUGGAAAUCUACACGGGCUGCCCUUCCCUGGCCGAGUUUCUCUACCAUCUUGGCAUCUGCUCUCAACCAGCCUCCUCACCCCAGCGAGUUAGGUGAAGGGUGGGGUCCCUCUGAUGAGUUGAGUUGCGUCUUCGAGAACAAGGGAACUGUGAGCUUUUAUGGAACCAUGGGUCGCAACGCGUUCCACAAGCAGGACCCAUGGUCGGGGCAUUCCACAGGUUUCACGUCGAACAACCAUUAUGUGCUAUUCUGCAAAGGUGAAGCUCCAUCCGCAUGCCUGGACCCGAAUCCCUCUAAGGUUCCAUUUUGUUGUUCGGAACAUUUCAAGAACCCCGGAAAUGAAGAUAGUGGGGCUGGUCUUGUUCCGAAUCUUGACAUAGACGAUUUCCCACAGAUGGGAAAUAGUAAAGAUGUUUUAGAUUGUGAGACAGAUGAAGUUUUGUACCAGUUUACGGAUGAGGAAUUGGAGUGCCUUCUAAUGGAGAAAAAUGGACCUACUGACAAUGCCAUAGAGGUUCGCUCAGUUUAAGUAUUUGGGCAUCGUCUUCAGUCCAACCCGAGUGCGCAUCAUUUCAACCUGCACGGAUUGGGAAUUUGAUUCUCGGGAUGCAGGGUGUGAAGGGCAGUAGCAGUACUACUGAUAACUGCAUGCUUACGAAUCCUCCCUACAGCAGCAUCGGUAUGGGAUUUCCCACUCCCAGCAUGUCCUUGCCACUGCACAACAUAACCGGGGAAAGCCAUGCUAUCGAGUACCAAGACUCUGGAAUAUCUCCAAUGUUGUUAUCGGUCAAAUCACCAUGGGACCCCAAGCCCGAGGGCAGUUGCCCGCAGGCAAGAGACAAAGCCAAGAUACGCUAUAAAGAGAAGAAGAACUAUUGGAGUUUGGAUCAGUCCUGCUGUGUUAUCUGUUGAAGACUCUGUCUGUUUGUUGUUUAUUACUGAAGUUAACGUUUUAGUGCAGUCAUGUGUUUGCAUGUUUUAGGCAGUUAUCAAAUCAUGUACUGGCAGUUACUUUCUGCCUUUGUGUUUUAUAUUUCUUGUGAAAGUGUAAGACAGUUACUAGUUUUUCAGUUGUAUCAAGAAGUUCUU